GAAAUCUACAUCCGCUUGGGGUUCGUAACAUUUUUCCUGCUCACGAAAUAAACUGUGGAUAUUUGGAAAUCUCCGGGGAACACAGCCAGAAUGAUGAAGAGGUACGUGCUGUCUGUUGCCAUGGCUCUGUGUGUCAUUGGUGACUUCAUCCCGGGCUUUGGAAGCAACAGAGUGAUGGUGGUUAUUCCGAAGCAAGACACCUCAGGCAGAGCAGGAGCAAAAGGCCACUUUAGUUCUCUCCUGCUGUCGAUGAGGUGUGCCUUCUGUCGCCAACAAAGAAAUCAGCCAUGCAUCGAUCGAGUUUGUUCCUUGAUAUCGGAAAGUCACUAAAUAUGGCGAGACGAUAACUACACACGAGUGAGUGAGUGAGUAGCGGUCUAUGACGUUAGUGACAAUAUUCAAGCAAUAUACCAUGUAUAGGAAUAAAAUUGUUUGGUAGCCACACCGCGUUUUUCCUAGGAUCAUGCAUUAAACGAUGACUAAGUUGAUGCAUGUCAUUGUGUCCCAAUUGCGUGGAUCGAUGCUCAUGAUAUCAAUCAUGAAAUGUCUGGUCCAGUCUCGAUUAUUUACAGAUCGCUGUAGCCAUACUCCCUCACUCACUCAAAGGAUUAUAAAACGAUACUAAUGUAUAUUCUAUGACGAACUUUUGUUAUAUUUUGGCAUUAUGAAAUAAAAAAUGCAGUUUUCAUCAAAAAUGCAAUGCAGAUAAUGCCGAUGUAGAGAUGAUGAUGUUCAGUGGUGACCGCAAAUAAAGAAUUGUUUGAUUCAAA